rnacentral:rRNA from 1 species
ACACGACUACAUUAGAUACCCCUGUAGUCCUAGCCGUAAACGAUACUCGCUAGGUGUCGGCCACGGUGCGACCGUUGUCGGUGCCGUAGGGAAGCCGUGAAGCGAGCCACCUGGGAAGUACGGCCGCAAGGCUGAGACUUAAAGGAAUUGGCGGGGGAGCACAACAACGGGUGGAGCUUGCGGUUUAAUUGGAUUCAACGCCGGAAAUCUUACCGGGACCGACAGCAACAUGAAGGCCAAGCUGAAGACUUUGCCGGAUUAGCUG